UACCAGCACCCCGAGUGGUCGGGACGAUUAUUGGGCCUAAAGCAUCCGUAGCCGGUUUUACAAGUCCCCCGUUAAAUCCAACUGCUUAACAGAUGGGCCGCGGAGGAUACUAUAGAGCUAGGAGGCGGGAGAGGCAAGCGGUACUUAGUGGGUAGGGGUAAAAUCCGUUGAUCCAUUGAAGACCACCAGUGGCGAAGGCGGCUUGCCAGAACGCACUCGACGGUGAGGGAUGAAAGCUGGGGGAGCAAACCGG
rnacentral:rRNA from 1 species